AGAGUUUGAUCAUGGCUCAGAAUCAACGCUGGCGGCGCGCCUAACACAUGCAAGUCGAACGAGAACGGCUUCAGCAAUGGGGCCUAGUAAAGUGGCGUACGGGUGAGUAACACGUGGGUAAUCUACCUUCAAGUGGGGGAUAACCCGGGGAAACCUGGGCUAAUACCGCAUAAUAUCCGCAAGGAUCAAAGGAGCAAUUCGCUAGAAGAUGAGCCCGCGGUCGAUUAGCUAGUUGGCGGGGUAAUGGCCCACCAAGGCUUUGAUCGAUAGCCGGUCUGAGAGGACGCACGGCCACACUGGAACUGAAACACGGUCCAGACUCCUACGGGAGGCAGCAGUGGGGAAUCUUGCACAAUGGGGGAAACCCUGAUGCAGCGACGCCGCGUGGGUGAUGAAGCUCUUCGGAGUGUAAAGCCCUUUCGGCAGGGAAGAGAAAAGACGGUACCUGCAAAAGAAGCCCCGGCUAACUACGUGCCAGCAGCCGCGGUAAUACGUAGGGGGCUAGCGUUGUUCGGAAUUACUGGGCGUAAAGAGCGCGUAGGCGGCGCAGCGUGUUUGGUGUGAAAUCUCCCGGCUUAACCGGGAGGGGCCAUCGAAAACUGCUGUGCUUCGGGUACGGGAGAGGGGAGUGGAAUUCCCGGUGUAGCGGUGAAAUGCGUAGAGAUCGGGAGGAACACCAGCGACGAAGGUGGCUCCCUGGACCGUUACCGACGCUGAGGCGCGAAAGCUAGGAGAGCAAACAGGAUUAGAUACCCUAGUAGUCC
rnacentral:rRNA from 1 species